GCUCGUAUAGCUCAGAGGUAGAGCACUCCCUUGGUAAGGGAGAGGUCGCGGGUUCAAUUCCUGCUAUGAGCUCCA
rnacentral:tRNA from 1 species